rnacentral:rRNA from 1 species
UGAGCAAUCUGCCCUUCUCAUCGGAAUAACCAUUGGAAACGAUGGCUAAUACCGAAUAUGACUUCGGAUCGCAUGAUCUGAAGUGGAAAGCUCCGGCGGUGAAGGAUGAGCUCGCGGCCUAUCAGCUUGUUGGUGAGGUAAUAGCUCACCAAGGCGACGACGGGUAGCCGGCCUGAGGAGGGUGACCGGCCACACUGGGACUGAGACACGGCCCAGACUCCG